rnacentral:rRNA from 1 species
UACGGAGGAUGCGAGCGUUAUCCGGAUUUAUUGGGUUUAAAGGGUGCGUAGGCGGACUGUUAAGUCAGCGGUAAAAGCCCGGGGCUCAACCCCGGCGAGCCGUUGAAACUGGCUGUCUUGAGAUGUCGAGAGGUAUGCGGAAUGCGCAGUGUAGCGGUGAAAUGCAUAGAUAUUACACAGAACACCGAUUGCGAAGGCAGCUUGCUAGGCCGGAUCUGACACUGAUGCACGAAAGCGUGGGGAUCGAACAGG